rnacentral:misc_RNA from 1 species
AGCAGCCGCGGUAAUUCCAGCUCCAAUAGCGUAUAUUAAAGUUGUUGCAGUUAAAAGCUCGUAGUUGAAUUUCGGGAUCAAUUAGUCGGUCGUGCCUCUGGUACGUACUGGUUUUAUUGGUUCCUCCCUUCUGACGAAACAUGAUGCCAUUAAUUUGGUGUCGUGGAGAAUCAGGACUGUUACCUUGAAAAAUUAGAGUGUUUAUAGCAGGCUAACGCUUGAAUACAUUAGCAUGGAAUAAUGAAAUAGGACGUUCGACCCUAUUUUGUUGGUUUCUAGGAUCGACGUAAUGAUUAAUAGGGAUAGUUGGGGGCAUUAGUAUUCAAUUGUCAGAGGUGAAAUUCUUGGAUUUAUUGAAGACUAACUACUGCGAAAGCAUUUGCCAAGGAUGUUUUCAUUAAUCAAGAACGAAAGUUAGGGGAUCGAAGACGAUCAGAUACCGUCGUAGUCUUAACCAUAAACUAUGCCGACUAGGGAUCGGAUGAUGUUAAUUUUUUAAUGUACUCAUUCGGCGCCUUUA